GAUGAACGCUGGCGGCGUGCCUAAUACAUGCAAGUCGAACGAAACUUCUUUAUCACCGAGUGCUUGCACUCACCGAUAAAGAGUUGAGUGGCGAACGGGUGAGUAACACGUGGGCAACCUGCCCAAAAGAGGGGGAUAACACUUGGAAACAGGUGCUAAUACCGCAUAACCAUAGUUACCGCAUGGUAACUAUGUAAAAGGUGGCUAUACUACCGCUUUUGGAUGGGCCCGCGGCGCAUUAGCUAGUUGGUAGGGUAAAGGCUUACCAAGGCAAUGAUGCGUAGCCGAAUUGAGAGGUUGAUCGGCCACAUUGGGACUGAGACACGGCCCAAACUCCUACGGGAGGCAGCAGUAGGGAAUCUUCCACAAUGGGCGAAAGCCUGAUGGAGCAACGCCGCGUGGGUGAAGAAGGUCUUCGGAUCGUAAAACCCUGUUGUUAGAGAAAAAAGUGCGUGAGAGUAACUGUUCACGUUUCGACGGUAUCUAACCAGAAAGCCACGGCUAACUACGUG
rnacentral:rRNA from 1 species